CGGACGUAGCCAAGUGGAUUAAGGCAGUGGAUUGUG
rnacentral:tRNA from 1 species